UUUUUGUUUACAAUGCAAAAAUCAAUAUAAAUCUUGUGACGCGCGGUGUUCAACUUUAGUCAGCGCCAAGCGCUUAUCGAGGGAGGACGUAUCGCUCGCUGUUGCGCCGCGCAAACUCGCCGGAGCUCGAAAAAUAUAGCGCAACCUGCGCAACGAACUCGUUUUGAUACUAGAUAAUGAAAGCAUAUUUAAUUCAGAUUAUCAGACUCAAUCGGAUACCAGUACAAAUAAUAUGGAAAAUGAAGAUACAAUACAUGGAAGACGAAUUAUAGAUUUUAGUUUUUUUAUAAAUCAAUUACUUAUACCU